CCCUUAGAUGUCCUGGGCUGCACGCGCGCUACACUGAUGUGUCCAGUAAGCACCUAACCUCUUCCGAAAGGGACGGGUAACCUUUGCAAAGCACAUCGUGAUGGGGAUAGAUUAUUGCAAUUAUUAGUCUUGAACGAGGAAUUCCUAGUAAGCACAAGUCAUCAGCUUGUGUUGAUUACGUCCCUGCCCUUUGUACACACCGCCCGUCGCUCCUACCGAUUGAAUGUUCCGGUGAGCUCUUCGGACUGCGCGGUCUGCAGUUUCUGCGUUCCGUGCGGAAAGUUGCGCAAACCUUAACAUUUAGAGGAAGGAGAAGUCGUAACA
rnacentral:rRNA from 1 species